rnacentral:rRNA from 1 species
CAGCAGCCGCGGGAAUACGUAGGUGGCAAGCGUUGUCCGGAAUUAUUGGGCGUAAAGGGCUCGCAGGCGGUUUCUUAAGUCUGAUGUGAAAGCCCCCGGCUCAACCGGGGAGGGUCAUUGGAAACUGGGAAACUUGAGUGCAGAAGAGGAGAGUGGAAUUCCACGUGUAGCGGUGAAAUGCGUAGAGAUGUGGAGGAACACCAGUGGCGAAGGCGACUCUCUGGUCUGUAACUGACGCUGAGGAGCGAAAGCGUGGGGAGCGAACAGGAUUAGAUAACCCCGGUAGUCCCUGUCUCUUAUA